CUCUCAAUUCAUACCAAAUGAUACUGCAUCUGCUGAUCCCAGCCUAAUCAAUGCAGAGAGUACUACCUCAGCAUGCUUGACUUCAGACUGUGUCCAGAGACCUCAGGUAUGGAAUGUCAACCCUUCAGCCUCAUAACUUGGUCACCAGGCUCCAGAUGCUAGCAUGAUGCCGACCAGACUUCCCUGGACAGAUGACCCCACCAGUGUAUCCUGGAGCUCCAAUUCCCCAGAGCCCUUCCCCACUAGGGAAAGAGAGAGGCAGACUGGGAGUAUGAAUCAACCUGUAAAUGCCCCUAUUCAGCGGGGAAGCAAUUAUAGAAGUCAGAUCUUCGACGUACUGCAUUCCACAAUGACCUUGGGUCCAUACUCCCAGAGGGGUAAAGAAUAGGAAAGCUAUCAGGGGAUGGGAUGGGAUAUGGAGUUCUGGUAGUGGGAAUUGUGUGGAGUUGUACCCCUCUUAUCCUAUGGUUUUUUUCAGUGUUUCUUUCUUAUGAAUAAAAAUAAAUAAAAAGAAAGAAAAAA